AGAUCAGAGUCACUCACACCUGCUACACUUGGCAAUUGAUGCAGUAUCACUUUCUGCACAUAGGGGGUGAUCUACCCUCAGUCUGGGAAGGUCAUAUAAAGUGACACAACACAUAUCUGUACUUCCUCCAGUUCAUUUCAGUCACUCAGGCCCCAACAUGUUCAGACACACAAUCACCUUUCUCGUCAUUUUGUUUAGAUUACAGGUAAAAGGUCAAGUUGAGGGUUCAGAUGUGACCCAGGAUGGAUUGAUUUGGGCAAAAGAAGGAAAAGAAGCCAACAUGACCUGCACUCAUACAAAAGACAUUACCUAUACUCAAAUGUACUGGUAUAAACAGUUGCCCGGAGAAACUAUGAGACUCAUAGUUUAUACAAUGUACGGCAAAAAUGACCAUGACUUCGGAGAUUUCAGCAAAGAAAAAUACUCUGCUCAACGGGCCAGUGCUCAAAGUGGGACGUUUACAGUGAAAGAUGUAACAGCUGCAGAUAAAGCCAUGUAUUUCUGUGCUGUCAAGUUGAGGGUUCAGAUGUGACCCAGGAUGGAUUGAUUUGGGCACAAGAAGGAAAAGAAGCCACGAUGAGCUGCACUCACACAAAAGGAGCUGGUUAUCCUCAAAUGUACUGGUAUAGACAGCUGCCUGGAGAAACUAUGAG